GCACUGCUGAGGAGUCCCACAGCAGGACGAAACGGCAGUCUGGUGC
rnacentral:hammerhead_ribozyme from 1 species